UACAGAGGUCUCAAGCGUUGUUCGGAUUCAUUGGGCGUAAAGGGUGCGUAGGUGGCGCGCUAAGUCAGGUGUGAAAUCUCGGAGCUUAACUCCGAAACUGCAUUUGAUACUGGCGUGCUUGAGGACUGGAGAGGAGACUGGAAUUCACGGUGUAGCAGUGAAAUGCGUAGAGAUCAUGAGGAAGACCAGUGGCGAAGGCGGGUCUCUGGACAGUUCCUGACACUGAGACACGAAGGCCAGGGGAGCAAACGGG
rnacentral:rRNA from 1 species